UUACGGCCAUAUCGGUUGUGAAUACCGAUUACCGAAGUUAAGCAACGUUGAGCCUGGUCAGUACCUAGAUGGGUGACCGCUUGGGAAUACCAAGUGCAGU